rnacentral:rRNA from 1 species
UACGUAGGGGGCAAGCGUUGUCCGGAUUUAUUGGGCGUAAAGAGCUCGUAGGCGGCUUGUUGCGUCGACUGUGAAAUCCCGAGGCUCAACCUCGGGUCUGCAGUCGAUACGAGCAAACUAGAGUGUUGCAGGGGAGACUGGAAUUCCUGGUGUAGCGGUGAAAUGCGCAGAUAUCAGGAGGAACACCGGUGGCGAAGGCGGGUCUCUGGGCAACAACUGACGCUGAGGAGCGAAAGCGUGGGGAGCGAACAGG